rnacentral:rRNA from 1 species
UACGUAGGGUGCAAGCGUUAAUCGGAAUUACUGGGCGUAAAGCGUGCGCAGGCGGUUUUGUAAGUCUGGCGUGAAAGCCCCGGGCUUAACCUGCGAAUUGCGAUGGAGACUGCAAGGCUUGAAUCUGGCAGAGGGGGGUAGAAUUCCACGUGUAGCAGUGAAAUGCGUAGAGAUGUGGAGGAACACCGAUGGCGAAGGCAGCCCCCUGGGUCAAGAUUGACGCUCAUGCACGAAAGCGUGGGGAGCAAACAGG